rnacentral:rRNA from 1 species
GACGAACGCUGGCGGCGUGCUUAACACAUGCAAGUCGAACGAGACGAUUGAAAGCUUGCUUUCGAAAGUCGAGUGGCAAACGGGUGAGUAACGCGUAGACAACCUGCCUUUGAGAUGGGGACAAUAGUUCGAAAGGACUGCUAAUACCGAAUGUUGUAUAUUCUCCACAUGGAAGAUAUAUUAAAGAUGGCCUCUAUUUAUAAGCUAUCGCUCAAAGAUGGGUCUGCGUCUGAUUAGCUGGUUGGUGGGGUAACGGCCUACCAAGGCGACGAUCAGUAGCCGGUCUGAGAGGAUGAACGGCCACAUUGGGACUGAGACACGGCCCAGACUCCUACGGGAGGCAGCAGUGGGGAAUCUUCCACAAUGGACGAAAGUCUGAUGGAGCAACGCCGCGUGAGUGAAGAAGGGUUUCGGCUCGUAAAGCUCUGUUGUCGGGGACGAAUGUGCAGUAUUUGAAUAAAGUACUGCAAUGACGGUACCUGACGAGGAAGCCACGGCUAACUACGUGCCAGCCGCCGCCGUAA